UACGUAGGGUGCGAGCGUUAAUCGGAAUUACUGGGCGUAAAGAGUGUGUAGGCGGUGCUCUAAGUUCGGUGUGAAAUCUCCUGGCUCAACUGGGAGGGUGCGCCGGAAACUGGAGUGCUUGAGCGUGGGAGAGGAAAGUGGAAGUUCCUGGUGUAGCGGUGAAAUGCGUAGAUAUCAGGAGGAGCACCUGUGGUGUAGACGGCUUUCUGGACCAUAGCUGACGCUGAGACACGAAAGCGUGGGUAGCAAACAGG
rnacentral:rRNA from 1 species